rnacentral:rRNA from 1 species
AGUGAAUCUCCUUCGGGAGUGAAGCUAGCGGCGGACGGGUGAGUAACACGUGGGCAACCUGCCUCAUAGAGGGGAAUAGCCUUUCGAAAGGAAGAUUAAUACCGCAUAAGAUUGUAGCUUCGCAUGAAGUAGCAAUUAAAGGAGCGAUCCGCUAUGAGAUGGGCCCGCGGCGCAUUAGCUAGUUGGUGAGGUAACGGCUCACCAAGGCGACGAUGCGUAGCCGACCUGAGAGGGUGAUCGGCCACAUUGGGACUGAGACACGGCCCAGACUCCUACGGGAGGCAGCAGUGGGGAAUAUUGCACAAUGGGGGAAACCCUGAUGCAGCAACGCCGCGUGAGUGAUGACGGCCUUCGGGUUGUAAAGCUCUGUCUUCAGGGACGAUAAUGACGGUACCUGAGGAGGAAGCCACGGCUAACUACGUGCCAGCAGCCGCGGUAAUACGUAGGUGGCGAGCGUUGUCCGGAUUUACUGGGCGUAAAGGGAGCGUAGGCGGACUUUUAAGUGAGAUGUGAAAUACCCGGGCUCAACUUGGGUGCUGCAUUUCAAACUGGAAGUCUAGAGUGCAGGAGAGGAGAAUGGAAUUCCUAGUGUAGCGGUGAAAUGCGUAGAGAUUAGGAAGAACACCAGUGGCGAAGGCGAUUCUCUGGACUGUAACUGACGCUGAGGCUCGAAAGC